rnacentral:lncRNA from 1 species
AACUGGUGCGGAAGAGUGUGCAAGAUGGCCGUGAGUGAGAGCCUUAUAAGGCCUGGGGCAAGAAAUGGCUGGUUCAGAACCAAAGACGGGGACUCCUGGACAGUGAGCAAGGGGGUGGGCUGGGCUUGGUUCUAAGAACAGGUGGGUGCUGAGAGGGCUCUCAGCAGCAGCAUCACUGCACUCCACAAGGCAGGGUCCUGGAUACUCGGGUCCACGGGGUGUGUCUCACCAGCCCAGGAGGUCUCCGUGUUCAAUGCCCCGUGUCCUGCAGGGGUCCCAACCACCUCAGCUCGGAGCUGACCCAAGGCCUCAGGGCCCCAGGGGAGGAAACUGGGAGGCGGGAAGGCCGGUGAGGCCGGGUCCGCAGAGGCACUCCUUCCCGAAGGCCACCCGCUCCAGUAGGCACCCACCUUUCUUGGUCGUCUCGUCCAUCUGGCCUAGCAGCGCCCAUCCCCCAGGGGGCUGCGACUCGGGAAGCGCUAACUCCAGUCACCUAGGGAGAGGCAGUCGCUCAGUCCCGCUCAGCGCCUCAGGGUCCCAAGCGGCGGUCAGGCAGCACCACAUCCCGGGACCCGGCCAGGCCUGGGGGAACGCGCCGGGGCCCCGCGGGGACAGUGAAAGCGCGGGGGACGCCGGGUCCAGCCAGCAGUGGGCGAAAUAGGAAACCUGGCGGGCGGGAGCUCCCCGCCACUUGUCCCCGGGCGCUCGCUGUGUCCAGGAGGUCAGCCCCACACCCAGCGCUCCCGGGAGGACCCCGUCGUUCGGAAGCAGGGGGAAGACUGCUUGGGCGGAAGAGAAAGUGAAAGUGACGGCUCCGGAAGUGGGCCGGAAAGGGGCCGGAAAACUGUCCUCUCGCCCGGGACCCGCCGCGCGGCCCACCUGGCGGCGGCGGCAAGCGUCCACACUGCUCCUGGCGCCACCGCCCCGCCGCGAGGUCCCAGCGAUCCUAGGCGCUCGGUCCCUCUGUCCUGGGCGACCUGACUCGGUCCCCGGGACAGAGCACGGAUUCCCCGGGCCCGGCUCACCAGCCGCUGCGCAGGAGGCGGGCCGCGGGAAGGAAGAAACGAAGGCUCUAUUUAGGACCUGCCCAAGGCCACCGGAGCAGGUCUGACUUCAGGCCUGAGAGGCCCGGAAACCGGCCCUCAAGCAAAACGGAGGCUCCUCCUAGGCGAUCACCUUCAC